CACACACAAAAAAUCAGAUGUUUAUACAAAUAACUCUAAGUUCUAAUAAUCAGGAAUACAGUUAUUUAUAGCAAUUACAAGGUUUCCACUCCUAAGUAGCAAGAGAUUUUGCUGUAUUUUACACUUCAGUUUUUGCUCCAUAAAAAUAAAACUUACAUAUUUGCGCACUUAAAAUAUAAAUGUACAUAUAUACAUCUAUAUUAAAUAUUUUUAAAAUAAAUGUAACUUUCACUUGUAAAGUCAUUAAAUGCUGACAUUUUAAAAAAUCAAACACUUUAAUAUAUUACUAUAUCAAUAAUUUCUUCACUCACAUUAAGUAUGUGUCUGUGUCUCUCUCUCAUGUUCAUACACACACACAGCUGGAAGUGAUAUUCAGAAAUCCUUAUCUGAUGCCUCCCAAACUAAUAUCUCCAACCUGGGCUACUCCUCUAGGCUUUUUUAUCCAAUGCCUACACCUACAUGUCUAAGACAAAUUUUAAUUUAGUAAGUUCAACUCAAACUCAAGAUCUUCACCCCCAAUUAUAUUUUCUACCUUAGAAACUGACAAUUCUAUCCUUCCAGUGGCUCAGGCCAAAUGCGCUGAAGUCAUCCCUGACUCCUUCCUUUCUCUCACACUUUAUAUCUAAUCAAUGGGCAAAUUAUGUUGGCUCUACCUUCAAAAUGUAGCCAGAAACCAACCAGUUUUCACCACCUUCACAGCUAUCACCCUAUUCCAAACCAGCACCAUCUCCUGCCUAGAAAUGCAAUAUGCAAUGGCCUCCUGAUCUACUUCCACCUUUAGCGUCCCACCCCUCAAAAUGUUUCCUUCACAUAGCGGCUGGUGGUUCUUUUAAAACUAAGUUGGAGCAUUUCAUUCCUUUUCUGAAAACUCUACAAUAGCUUUCCAUCUCAGAAUAAAAUCCAAAUUCCUAACAUGGUCAUCACAGCCUUGUAUGAUCUUGCCCCUUGCUGCUGUUCUGAUACCAUGGCCUACCAUUCAGGUCUUCACUAACUCCAUUCCAGCCCCUAUUUCCCCAAAAUGCCAAGCAGACUCAGGCAUUUUACAUUUACUGUCGCCUCUUUCUGGUAUACUCUUUUCCUAGCUAUGCAUGCACAUGGCUUAUUCCUUCAUGUUAUUUAGGUUCCUGCCCAUAUGUCACCUCCUUAGAGCUUUCCCUGAAUAUCACUAAAUAGCACUGCCCAGCCCCACUACAUCUCCUUACUCAGCACCUAUCACUGAUACAUUAUAUAUCUCUUUGUGUCUCAUCCCACUAGAAUGCAAGAUCCAUGAUACAGCUUUUGUUUUCUUCACUGCUCUAUCCCUAGAGCCAACAUUUCCUACUCAAAUGAAAUGAAAUUACUUGGGAGAAAGAAUAGACAAAAAGCAGGCAAAGGACUUAGACCAAAGGACUUCUCACUUUGCUCCCGGCUCUGAGAUUCCUUACUCCUUUUCUCAAGAGAGUGAAGAGACUCAAAAGCACAUGACAAUUUUUUAUAGGCAGAGGUAAAGAAUUUAUAUUUCCUAAGAAGAGAAUAAAGAAUAAAAUGCUGGAACAAAGUAAAAAGGAUAAUAUGCGCCAACUGCGGAAUACACGCUAGUGGCAACAAGAGGUGUCGUUAUUUUUUGUGUAUUGGGGGAAAGUGUGUAUUUUGAUGUGUAUUGGGGAAAAAUGACUAGCAUACUAAGCUCAUGAUUUAAUGAUAAUUACAUAGUACAAAAUUAUACUUUUAAAAAAUAUAAAAACAUGAAAUAAAUACUACUACAGGCAGUAUUCACAUGGAGGAAAAAACUCAUAUUGGUGUAUAAAUUAAGUGAAGUUUUAAGCAACGCUGCUCCAGAAAAACAGCUCUUAAUUUGAGGCCCAUGGCCUCUGACUUUGAGCAUCUGAACUCCAGUGUAUCAUAUGCAAAAUGUAUGUGAACGAGCACAUGGGCAUUGUUCUGGGAAAAACAAAAAUCAGUCCAGAGUUUUCACCAGAUUCUCAAAAAGGGUUAAAAACUAUUGCUCCAAAACUUUACAAUCUAAUAUGUCAUCAAAUAUCACUAUGAAUAAAAAAGUACUUAUUUGAAAA